rnacentral:rRNA from 1 species
UACAGAGGUGGCAAGCGUUGUUCGGAAUUACUGGGCGUAAAGGGCGCGUAGGCGGCCUUCUAAGUCAGACGUGAAAUCCCCCGGCUUAACCUGGGAACUGCGUCUGAUACUGGGAGGCUUGAGUAUGGGAGAGGGAUGUAGAAUUCCAGGUGUAGCGGUGAAAUGCGUAGAUAUCUGGAGGAAUACCGGUGGCGAAGGCGGCAUCCUGGACCAUAACUGACGCUGAGGCACGAAAGCGUGGGGAGCAAACAGG